GCUCGCUUCGGCAGCGCAUACACUGAAAUUGGAACGCUAUGGAGAUUAGCAUGGCCCCUGCACAAGGGUGAUGCUUGGUACUCGACUCAAAUCUUCACUCCUU